UACGUAGGCAGCGAGCGUUGUUCGGAGUUACUGGGCGUAAAGAGUGCGUAGGCGGUUUUCUAAGUUUGGUGUGAAAUCUCCCGGCUUAACUGGGAGGGUACGCCGAAGACUGGAAGGCUUGAGUAUGGGAGAGGUAAGCGGAAUUCCUGGUGUAGCGGUGAAAUGCGCAGAUAUCAGGAGGAACACCGGUGGCGAAGGCGGGUCUCUGGGCCGAUACUGACGCUGAGGAGCGAAAGCGUGGGGAGCGAACAGG
rnacentral:rRNA from 1 species